rnacentral:rRNA from 1 species
GACGAACCGUGCAAACGUUAUUCGGAAUCACUGGGCUUAAAGGGCGCGUAGGCGGGCAACCAAGUCCGAGGUGAAAUCCCUCAGCUUAACUGGGGAACUGCGUCUGAUACUGGAUGGCUUGGAUUCGGGAGAGGAAUGCGGAAUUCCAGGUGUAGCGGUGAAAUGCGUAGAUAUCUGGAAGAACACCGGUGGCGAAGGCGGCAUUCUGGACCGACAUUGACGCUGAGGAGCGAAAGCCAGGGGAGCAAACGGG